CCGGCGAAGGGGGGAGGCUUACCCGAGGCAGGCCCAGGCCAUUUCCCCAUGCCCUGACCAGGGGAUCAGCGGGCUGCCCCGCGGCACCGGGGCCCCCUAAGCGGCUGCCCUGCACCGGGCGGGGCGGGUUCUAAGGGGAUCCACGGAGCGGCGGGUGCUCGGAGGAUGCGGAGGCCUCCCUGUUUCCUUGGUAGAGUCGAUCCGCACUCAGUCUGACCCAGGACGUCACUCUGCCUGUCUGUUUUCUCAAUGAUAACUUGGCAGGAGAAGGGGGAAGCUGCCAGGUUUUCCCUGGGCUCAUUACCUGGGGAGCCAAGCGACCUGGGUUCUGUUGCCAGCUCUGUCACUGACUUACAAUAUGACCCUGGACAAAUCACUUCACCACUCUGUGACUCCGCAUCUUUGUAUGGACAGGGCGAUAGUGAUACUUACCCUCCUUUGUUAAGCCGUUUGAGAUCAACAAAUGAAGUUCACUAUACAGUUUUCAGCAGAAUGAGAGAGGUACCUUCACCAACUUCUGUGAUGAUAUUUCAUCUUUCAAAACUUACAUUUUCAGCUGUUCGGUUGUGCUAGCCAUUAUUGAUUAUUGUAUUUGUAUAAGGGAGACUUCCCAUUAUAAAUUGUACUGAAUGUAUUUUACCCAGAUAUCAUGGCAUAUUAAUAUUUUUGAAAUACUAAUAUCAUACUGAUUAUUUGAUCCUUGGUUGGAUUUAAACAAGAAGCUAAUAAAAAUGACAAAUGCAGAGAGAUACUGAGCUAGAAGCAGUGAAGUAUAAUCAAGUUACCUAAUCGGAUACCUGCAUCUUUCUCUGAGCCUCUUCUAGGACCUGAUCUUGUAACUUCAGAGUAAAUUAGGAGUCAAGGCUCCUAAAUAACACAGGCCAACAUUUUCAAGAACAAUCUCAGAUUUUGAGUUUCUAGUCUGAGACACCUGGUUUUCAGAGGUGCUGAGAAUUACUGCUUCCAUUGACUUAAUUUGGAGUUGAAUGCUCAACAUUGGGAAAAAAAAAAAGCCCAAAAAAUUGUAAAUUAGGCACCCAUAACUAAAGGCCACUGUGAAAAUGUUGGCCACAAAGUUUAUCAUAUGCAGUAGAGUAGACAUUAGUGUAACUUGUAUUAAUACAUGUAUAUUAAAAAAAAAAAGAGUCUGCUGUAAAACAGGUGAAUGUCAUUACUGUGUAUUUAAUCUUUCCUUGUCUCGGGAAGUUUAGUGCAAUUAAAUUCCAUACAGGCUUUAUGGAAUUUGGCUCAUUUUGAUAAAGUUAUAUAUUAUUUGUAUAAUAUGUCAAUAUUGUGAAAAUAUUGUAUUGCAAUAUUUAUGUGUUUGUGCAUGUGUUAGAGAGACACACACAAAAUAAGUAACUAUGUAAUACAUUUAUAUAAAUCCAUUUAGGGGUUCUGGUGAUAUAAAAUAUGAGAAUUAAAUUAGUAUUUCCACAGAAUCUCAAAAUACAAUGUCCUUGUCUUUUAUUAUUUGUUACAAGGAAGGAAGCAUAAUCUAUCAGAGCAUGGAACUGGGGUUCAGGACUCAGAAGUUUUAUGCUCACAUCUGCCAGUGACUCAUUGUGCCCUGCCCAAUGUCCCACAUAACCAUUCUGUGCCUCAGUUUCCACAACACUCAAAUAAAUGUAAUAAUA